UGAAGGACUAACACUUUGCCAGUAUAACAUGUGAAUCUUGAUCCACAAUUCAAGUGGACAAGGAAUAUACCUAUUUUUUUAUAAUCCAUCAUAAGUUCUCUUGAAACUUUGUUGUUUGAUGUAUCUGGUCUCCAUUUGAGGUUUCUCUCUUCCUAUGUAUUUUUGUUUAAUAAUUUAUAGGCAGAGAUUCAGCUAUGUAUCAUUUUUAAGAAAAGGGAGGCAGUAAAACACAAAAACUUAGGCAAGUUGAGAAUAAUGAGAGCAACCUAAGCCAUAAAGUGCAGACAUGUAUUAUCUUGAAGGACACCACUUCCUCUUAUGCACUCUGGGAAUAGGGCAUAUUAGUGUUAUCUCUAGAAAGCUACUUUCUUUUUUUUCAGGAAGUAGGAUUGGUACUGGGGAUUGAACCCAGGGAGCUUUACUACUGAGCUACAUUCCAACCCUUUUUUAUUUACUAUUUUAUUUUGAGACAGGGUCUUACUAAGUUGCAGAGGCUUGCCUCCAACUUGUGAUCCUGCCUCUGUCUUCCGAGUCACUGGGAUUAUAGGAGUGCACCACCAUGCCUGGUUUAGAAAGCUACUUUCUUGCAUAUACACCAGAACAGUUUGCUCCUUAGGAUGCUGGUCAUACAAGCAAACUAAGCAAGCUUAUGAGAUGUCAUUGCUUCUGUAGCCUAACUUAUAAAACCCCCUCUCUCAGUAGUGACUGGCACAGAACUGAGAGCACUAUGGAAAGAAUUUGUGUCAUUCAUCUAGUUGGCUGCCACUGGACAAAAAGCUGUGAAGGAGAGGAGGUACUGUUUGGCAAAGCAGAGAGGACAGAUGUGCUUGCUAUCUGUUUAGCCUAUGGCCACUGGACUCUUCUUGGAGCAGUUGCUGAUCUCUUGUAAGCUUUGCCCCAUAAGUCAUAUGUCUUGCAUGCUGUCUCUGGGCACUUUCUCUGGUCUUUCAGCAACCUUCCUCACUGCCCUGGCACAAUUGGGUUGUGGAUGUGAAAAGCUUCACAGAUGAUUCUAACGUAUAGCCGGUAUUGAAGACGUGUGGGAGAUAGGAGAGCUGGGUGUGGCAAGAAGGCUAAGGAAAGAAUGGAAAUCCAUUACUAUUUCAGAAUUAUUCUAUUACAUUAGCUAAUAGCUAGCUGUACACAAAACCCACUGAAAGGAAUGGCAUUGGAACAACUAGUGGGGAGGUGAAUUAGAGUUAGAAAUACUCUACUCCCAGCUACUCAAAGCAUAAUUCUCAGACUAGCAUCCCAGGCAUCACCUUGGAAUUGUUAGAAAUGCAAAAAUCUCAGACUCUACCCCAAACAUAUAGCAUUAAUCUGCUAAGUACUGCCCUACUCUGCCAUUUUGCUAAAAGCGGGCUCCUAGGAGGAGGAAGACAGUCAGAAACCAGUUUUUGUUUUUUGUUUUUGAU
rnacentral:lncRNA from 1 species